rnacentral:lncRNA from 1 species
GUGCUGGCACACAGUGGGUGCUCAAAACUUGUGGGCCCAAUGGAAGAGCAUUUGCUUUUAUCACUCUACAACUGUGAACGUCUUUAUGUUUUCUCUGUACCUGAAUUAUAACAAGGCAAGGAUUGGGGCUGAUUCUGGGAUUUUGGGACAGUUAAGGCAGCCAAUGGAAUCUGUUAGCACGAGUAUUUCCUAGUCUUCCUGUGAGAAACAGAAGGAGGGACCCUUGAAAUGAGGUCCCUGGGGCUCUUGGUUGAGGACCUGAAAGAAAUGAGAGAAAGAUGGAUCUGAGCCUUUUAGGAAGACGUCUUCAUUUGAGAAAGCAUAGAGCCUCGUGGAGGGAGAUGGAGAUUAACCAAAGUAUCACAUAAAUGACUGUAUGGUUACAACUGAGAAUAUUAUGAAGGCGAGGAACCUAUCAUACAAGACCAUAGAACAGAGGAGCUUUACUCGGCCCAGGAGCCAGCCAGGCUUCACUGCGGAAGAUGGUGUAUGACAGUAGAUAGUGUCAGAGGUGAGCAUACAAGAGCAGAAGAAUGCAAUGUGGCUUUGGGGCUCUCCCAUCAAGAAGUGGGGUCCAUUUCCUGAUCCCUGGAGUCUGGACUCAGGAGCAGCCUGUGACUUGCACUGACAUCAAUGGAUAAUGAAAUGGAUGGAGACAGAGUUGUGCAAAUUCCAGAAGCUACGCCUUGAGGGCUCUUGCAGAUUUUGCUUUUGACCUCUUGAAACUGCCCUGAGACCACUAGGAAGGAAUACCUAUCUGGUUUUCUGGAGGAAGAGAGUCACAUGGAGAAGAACUGAGGCAGCCACCAACUGCCAGACAUGUGACCACCAGCUCUGCUGACCCCACAGCUCAAAGAAGCUGCACAGAUGAGCUGAGGCCACACUCUUCAGGGAACAAUCCGCACAGUCCUGAGAGACAGCAACUCCUUGCUCUUCUGAGCCACUAGGCUUUGGAACAGUUCAUUGCCUCUUUUACAUGACAUACUCUAAUUGCAUCAUCUUGUUCAAUGCUCACAACAACCCUGCAAGGUUCUUAUUAAUUUUCCAUUUUACAGAUAAGAAAACUGAGCCUCACAGAGUAGAUGCAAAACCGUUAAGUGGCAGGACUGGAAUUUGCACUCACAUCUAUGUGGCCCUAAAGGCCACCCUCUCCCCAUUUCACUGGCCCAUCAAAAACCACAGAGACCAGAUAACAAGAGCUUGUCAUAGUGCUGACAGCAGAGCUGAGGUCCCAAACUGCAGCAUGCUCUGCAUUCUUCUGGUCACAGGGCAAAGGCCAUCAAAAGGGAUCAAGAGAAGACACAGGAGCUUCCAGGAUGUCAGAGAAAAAGGAUGGGCUUGAACUUCUAUUGACUUCAUUGAGUCAACACAGGAGUCAAAAACUGUUGUGACUGGGGACUCACACCCUGUCUAUUCUUGUUGAUCUUUGGACAAACCAUUGCAGCAGACAGAAACAUUCAAAUAAAGCUUAGAAAAGUGAAAAAAGAAAGGGGGGAAGAAUACCAUAGUAAAAGAAAAUAGAAGAGGGAAAUGGUGAGGCAAACUUAUCACUGGCAUCAUGAUCUAUCAGAUUAUGUGCUCAAAAUAAGGUUAUGGAUUUAUUCUUAGUGGAGGGACUGGGGCUCAUGGCCUGAGUAUCAUUCACAAAGAAGCCAGAAAACUCCAUGUGUCCACGUGUCCAGGGGCAGGAAUGCCCACGCAGGCACUGUAUCGCUGCAGCUGAAUACCUGCCAGAGAAGCUUUGCUACCCUAAAGCCAAGGCCAGGCCUUCUAAGAAUGCGCCACACCAAUGAGGUGACAUGUCCUGUGAUGGCCUAGUAUGGUUAUGUGCUUUGCCUAGAAUCCACGAUUGCAUUAUGAUGGAAUUUCUGGUAUAGAAAAAUUGUAAUGUUCCAA